GCACUGCUGACGAGUCGCGCGAUAGGACGAAACGGCCGUCCGGUGC
rnacentral:hammerhead_ribozyme from 1 species